UCCGAUGGAACUUGAUAACAGCAGUCUCCCAUAAGGAGGAUCAGCCCAAAUUAAGUGCCUAGAGAAGGCAGACAUCCAGACUCCGUAUCAUAGUAUGUUGCACUCUGGGAACAAGAUGGAACAGAUUCUCCUUUAUGGCAGAGGCAGAACAGAAGCUGUGACUUUGUAUAGAUGUCUUGAGUGAGGGGCCUGGGGAAGGGGAGGAAGAUUCACCCUGAGCUAACAUCUGUGCCAAUCUUCCUCCACUUUAUGUAUGGGUUGCUGCCACAGCCUGGUUGAUGAGUGGUGUAAGUCUGUGCUUGGGAUCUGAACCCAGGAACCCAGGUGGCCCAAGUGGGGCACACUGAAUUUAACCACUAUGCCAC
rnacentral:lncRNA from 1 species